rnacentral:rRNA from 1 species
UACGGAGGGAGCUAGCGUUGUUCGGAAUUAUUGGGCGUAAAGGGCUCGUAGGCGGUUUGUCGCGUCGGGAGUGAAAACCCGCAGCUCAACUGUGGGCUUGCAGCUGAUACGGGCGGACUUGAGUGUUGCAGGGGAGACUGGAAUUCCUGGUGUAGCGGUGAAAUGCGCAGAUAUCAGGAGGAACACCGGUGGCGAAGGCGGGUCUCUGGGCAACUACUGACGCUGGAGGUGCGAAAGCGUGGGGAGCAAACAGG